GACGAACGCUGGCGGCGUGCUUAACACAUGCAAGUCGAACGAAGUGGCGAACGGGUGAGUAACGCGUAAUCAACCUGCCCUUCAGAGGGGGACAACAGUUGGAAACGACUGCUAAUACCGCCUACUGAAGGAGGGGAUUGCGUCUGAUUAGCUAGUUGGAGGGUUAACGGCCCACCAAGGCGAUGAUCAGUAGCCGGUCUGAUAUGUGGAGCAUCACCCUUGGGACUGAGACACGGCCCAGACUCCUACGACAACCAUCAUUACUUAAUCUUCCGCAAUAGACGAAAGUCUGACGCAGCAACGCCGCGUGAGUGAUGACGUCCUUCGGGUUCUCAAACUCUGUUAAUCGGGACGCGGUACCGGAAGAGAAAGCCACGGCUAACUACGUGCCAGCAGCCGCGGUAAUAC
rnacentral:rRNA from 1 species